UGGGGAAUAUUGCACAAUGGGCGCAAGCCUGAUGCAGCAACGCCGCGUGAACGAUGAAGGUCUUCGGAUCGUAAAGUUCUGUUGCAGGGGAAGAUAAUGACGGUACCCUGUGAGGAAGCCCCGGCUAACUACGUGCCAGCAGCCGCGGUAAUACGUAGGGGGCUAGCGUUAUCCGGAUUUACUGGGCGUAAAGGGUGCGUAGGUGGUCUUUCAAGUCGGUGGUUAAAGGCUACGGCUCAACCGUAGUUAGCCUCCGAAACUGGAAGACUUGAGUGCAGGAGAGGAAAGUGGAAUUCCCAGUGUAGCGGUGAAAUGCGUAGAUAUUGGGAGGAACACCAGUAGCGAAGGCGGCUUUCUGGACUGCAACUGACACUUAGGCACGAAAGCGUGGGUAGCAAACAGG
rnacentral:rRNA from 1 species